AACGAACGCUGGCGGCAGGCUUAACACAUGCAAGUCGAACGGAUCCUUCGGGAUUAGUGGCAGACGGGUGAGUAACGCGUGGGAACUUACCCUUUGCUACGGUAUAACUCAGGGAAACUUGAGCUAAUACCGUAUGUGCCCUUCGGGGGUAAGAUUUAUCGGGAAAGGAUCGGCCCGCGUUGGAUUCGCUAGUUGGUGGGGUAAUGGCCUACCAAGGCGACGAUCCAUAGCUGGUCUGAGAGGAUGAUCAGCCACACUGGGACUGAGACACGGCCCAGACUCCUACGGGAGGGAGCAGUGUGGAAUAUUGGGCGAUGGACGCAAGCCUGAUCCAGCCAUGCCGCGGGAGUGAUGAAGGUCGUAGGAUUGUAAAGCUCUUUGACCGGUGAAGAUAAUGACGGUAGCCGGAGAAGAAGCCCCGGCUAACUUCGUG
rnacentral:rRNA from 1 species